GGGCCCGUGGCUCAGUUGGUAGAGCGUCCGCCUUGCACGCGGAAGGUCAGGGGUUCGAAUCCCCUCGGGUCCAC
rnacentral:tRNA from 1 species